rnacentral:rRNA from 1 species
GACGAACGCUGGCGGCGUGCUUAACACAUGCAAGUCGAACGGAAAGGCCCUGCUUUUGUGGGGUGCUCGAGUGGCGAACGGGUGAGUAACACGUGAGUAACCUGCCCUUGACUUUGGGAUAACUUCAGGAAACUGGGGCUAAUACCGGAUAGGAGCUCCUGCUGCAUGGUGGGGGUUGGAAAGUUUCGGCGGUGGGGGAUGGACUCGCGGCUUAUCAGCUUGUUGGUGGGGUAGUGGCUUACCAAGGCUUUGACGGGUAGCCGGCCUGGGUGGGUGACCGGCAACAUUGGGACUGAGAUACGGCCCAGACUCCUACGGGAGGCAGCAGUGGGGAAUAUUGCACAAUGGGCGGAGGCCUGAUGCAGCAACGCCGCGUGCGGGAUGACGGCCUUCGGGUUGUAAACCGCUUUCGCCUGGGACGAAGCGUGAGUGACGGUAAUGGGUAAAGAAGCACCGGCUAACUACGUG